UACGUAGGGUCCGAGCGUUGUCCGGAAUUACUGGGCGUAAAGAGCUCGUAGGUGGUUUGUCGCGUUGUUCGUGAAAACUCACAGCUUAACUGUGGGCGUGCGGGCGAUACGGGCAGACUGGAGUACUGCAGGGGAGACUGGAAUUCCUGGUGUAGCGGUGGAAUGCGCAGAUAUCAGGAGGAACACCGGUGGCGAAGGCGGGUCUCUGGGCAGUAACUGACGCUGAGGAGCGAAAGCGUGGGGAGCGA
rnacentral:rRNA from 1 species